AUUGAACGCUGGCGGCAGGCCUAACACAUGCAAGUCGAACGAGUGGCGGACGUGUGAGUAAUGUCUGGGAAACUGCCUGAUGGAGGGGGAUACCUACUGGAAACGGUAGCUAAUACCGCAUACUAUCGUAUGUGCCCAGAUGGGAUGAGCUAGUAGGUGGGGUAAAGGCUCACCUAGGCGACGAGCCCUAGCUGUUCUGAGAGGAUGCCCAGACACGCUGGAACUGAGACACGGUCCAGACUCCUACGGGCGUCAGCAGUGGGGAAUAUUGCACAAGGGGCGCACGCCUGAUGCAGCCAUGCCGCGUGUAUGAAGAAGGCCUUCGGGUUGUAAAGUACUUUCAGCGGGGAGGCGUUAACCGCAGAAGAAGCACCGGCUAACUCCGUGCCAGCAGCCGCGGUAAUAC
rnacentral:rRNA from 1 species